GCAAACUUGGUCAUUUAGAGGAAGUAAAAGUCGUAACAAGGUUUCCGUAGGUGAACCUGCGGAAGGAUCAUUAGCGGUUCGCGCCGGCCUGUCAACGGGCCCGGCGCCUACUCCCAACCCAUUGUCUACCGGAAAGUCUAUCGUUGCUUCGGCGGCGCGUCGGGCGGAUUACACGCCCGCCGGCAGGCCCCUCGAGCGCGAGGGUCCCGCCGAGCCGCCGCCGGAGGCCCAUUUUGAAAAACCCUUGCACGACGGAAAACGGUAGCGUUUUCGCGCCUAAAGCUGAGCGUGAGAUUGACAGAACAAUCGGCUUCAAAACUUUCAACAACGGAUCUCUUGGUUCUGGCAUCGAUGAAGAACGCAGC
rnacentral:misc_RNA from 1 species